UACAGAGGUCUCAAGCGUUGUUCGGAUUCAUUGGGCGUAAAGGGUGUGUAGGUGGCGCCGUAAGUCGGGUGUGAAAUCUCAGGGCUCAACCCUGAAACUGCACUUGAUACUGCUCUGCUUGAGGACUGGAGAGGAGACUGGAAUUCACGGUGUAGCAGUGAAAUGCGUAGAUAUCGUGAGGAAGACCAGUGGCGAAGGCGGGUCUCUGGACAGUUCCUGACGCUGAGGCGCGAAGGCCAGGGGAGCAAACGGG
rnacentral:rRNA from 1 species